rnacentral:rRNA from 1 species
UAGGGAAUAUUGGUCAAUGGACGGAAGUCUGAACCAGCCAUUCCGCGUGCAGGAAGAAGGUCCUAUGGACUGUAAACUGCUUUUAUACGGGACGAAAAAAGGGUUUUCUAACUCGUCUGACGGUACCGUAUGAAUAAGCACCGGCUAACUACGUGCCAGCAGCCGCGGUAAUACGUAGGGUGCGAGCGUUAAUCGGAAUUACUGGGCGUAAAGGGUGCGCAGGCGGUUUUGUAAGUCAGAUGUGAAAUCCCCGGGCUUAACCUGGGAAUUGCGUUUGAAACUGCAAGACUAGAGUGCAGCAGAGGGGAGUGGAAUUCCAUGUGUAGCAGUGAAAUGCGUAGAGAUGUGGAAGAACACCGAUGGCGAAGGCAGCUCCCUGGGUUGACACUGACGCUCAUGCACGAAAGCGUGGGGAGCAAACA